GAGGCAUCUCUUAUAGAGUAGUCUCCAAGUGAUUUAAUAGACAGUCGCCCGGAAUCACUAAAAGGAGAGGUGAAAACGAAAUAGCAGAUUUGUUUUUCCCGGUCAGAUCAGUAGUGCACUGGCCAGACGUUCUUCUCGAAAUACGCGAACCACUUACCAUCCUUCUCAAAACUAAAGCAGCAAAACCUAACGAACGAGGGUAUUCCGUUCUCACCGUCGACGAGUUCAGGUUAGCAGUUGCUUUAAUGCUUAAAAACAAGGCUACCGCACCCGACAGUGUCCCAAAUGAGGUCUUCUCGGUGAUUUUUAUGAGAUCGCCUGAAGUCCUCCUGAAGAUCUACAACUGAGUGAGUCCGUCUUUCCGAAUAGGUGGAAACGAGCCAGGUUUAUACUCUUCUACAAGGUCCUGGACAAGCUUAUAGACAACCCGUUUAGUUUCCCAUAUUUUCCUGAGGUUGAUUUAUAUCACUUACGGUUUUAGCCUUCUCCCAAAGGCAAGGCAUUGAUUGUACAUUC